CGGAGCUGAUGCAGCGACGCCGCGUGAGGGAUGACGGCCUUCGGGUUGUAAACCCCUUUCAGUAGGGAAGAAGCGAGAGUGACGGUACCUGCAUAAGAAGCGCCGGCUAACUACGUGCCAGCAGCCGCGGUAAUACGUAGGGCGCAAGCGUUGUCCGGAAUUAUUGGGCGUAAAGAGCUCGUAGGCGGUUUGUCGCGUCUGCUGUGAAAGCCCGGGGCUCAACCCCGGGUCUGCAGUGGGUACGGGCAGACUAGAGUGCAGUAGGGGAGACUGGAAUUCCUGGUGUAGCGGUGAAAUGCGCAGAUAUCAGGAGGAACACCGAUGGCGAAGGCAGGUCUCUGGGCUGUUACUGACGCUGAGGAGCGAAAGCAUGGGGAGCGAACAGGAUUAGAUACCCUGGUAGUCCAUGCCGUAAACGUUGGGCACUAGGUGUGGGGGACAUUCCACGUUUUCCGCGCCGUAGCUAACGCAUUAAGUGCCCCGCCUGGGGAGUACGGCCGCAAGGCUAAAACUCAAAUGAAAUUGACGGA
rnacentral:rRNA from 1 species